CGGCGAGUGAAGCGGCAAGAGCUCAAAUUUGAAAUCUGGCCUCCCCCGGGGGCCCGAGUUGUAAUUUGCAGAGGAUGCUUCGGGUGCGGCCGCCGUCUAAGUUCCUUGGAACAGGACGUCAGAGAGGGUGAGAAUCCCGUCUUGGGCGGGCGGUCCGCGCCCGUGUGAAGCUCCUUCGACGAGUCGAGUUGUUUGGGAAUGCAGCUCUAAGCGGGUGGUAAAUUUCAUCUAAAGCUAAAUAUUGGCCGGAGACCGAUAGCGCACAAGUAGAGUGAUCGAAAGGUUAAAAGCACCUUGAAAAGGGAGUUAAACAGCACGUGAAAUUGUUGAAAGGGAAGCGCUUGCGGCCAGACUCGGGGGCGGGGUUCAGCGGGUGCUCGUCGCCCGUGUAUUCCUCGUCUCCCGGGCCAGCAUCAGUUUCGACGGCCGGUCAAAGGCCCCCGGAAUGUGUCGUCUCUCGGGACGUCUUAUAGCCGGGGGUGCAAUGCGGCCCGUCGGGACUGAGGAACGCGCUCCGGCUCGGAUGCUGGCGUAA
rnacentral:rRNA from 1 species